rnacentral:rRNA from 1 species
CUGAUUAGCUAGUUGUAAGGUAAUGGCUUACCAAGGCAACGAUCAGUAGCCGACCUGAGAGGGUGACCGGCCACAUUGGGACUGAGACACGGCCCAAACUCCUACGGGAGGCAGCAGUCGGGAAUAUUGCGCAAUGGAGGAAACUCUGACGCAGUGACGCCGCGUGCAGGAAGAAGGUUUUCGGAUUGUAAACUGCUUUAGACAGGGAAGAAAAAGGACAGUACCUGUAGAAUAAGCUCCGGCUAACUAC